GAGGGUAUAGCUCAGUGGUAGAUUGUAUGCUUGGCAUGCAAGAGGUCCUGGGUUCAAUCCCUAGUACCUUCA
rnacentral:tRNA from 1 species